GCCGGGAUGGUGAAAUUGGUAGACACGCUGGAUUCAAAAUCCAGUUCUAGCGAUAGAGUGCGGGUUCAAGUCCCGCUCCCGGUACCA
rnacentral:tRNA from 1 species